ACUUUGGAAAGAUGCUUUCUCUAAUUUUUAGAACCAAAACAGACCUGAAUGUGACCUUCGAUCUGUGGGGCCCUGGGAAUGGCUGAGCUGACUCUAUACAUACGUGUGCACACACUCUUCUAAAAGAAAUUACCGCAGCGCCCACCUGGACAAGGUCAUCGCACGUGUGACGCAGGAAUGUAAUUUAGCUGAAUCCAAGCAUACCACAAGGACAGUAAAAGCAGCCAUCAUACCUGGUGUCUUCCACAAGUGCUUUGGUCCUCUCAAUAUUCAGCUGUCAAAAGCCAUUGAUCAGCCCAGUUAUGACUGCAGAAAAGCAAGCAGUAUAAUGAGAAUGGCCUUUGCUGACCUCUUCAGAAACAAUGCAGAAAGAGAGCAUCGCCGGUGUACAUCAGGUAGCUAUAUGAAGAUCUACAAAAUAUGUUACCAGAAAAGAGCCUAAGUGAAAUGAGACCAUCUUAAACAAAUACAAGGUACUUAACAGAGGGAUUGYUGGAAACGG
rnacentral:lncRNA from 1 species